CUUGGAAAUCAUUUGACAAUAAAUUUCCAGGCUUUACAAGCGAUCCUAGGAGUGUGAGGCUUGGGCUAGCAUCUGAUGGAUUUAAUCCUUUCAAGAUCAUGAGCACUGCGUACAGUACUUGGCCAGUAGUGCUUGUUCCUUAUAAUCUGCCUCCGUGGAUUUGCAUGAAGCAAUCUUCCCUUAUCUUAUCUAUGAUUAUCCCUGGUGAGAAAGGGCCCGGGAAUGAUAUCGACAUUUAUUUACAGCCACUUAUUGAAGAGUUAAAACAAUUAUGGGCUGGUGUCGAGACAUAUGAUGUGGUGAGAAAGGAGAACUUUAAUUUACGUGCGGCUUU
rnacentral:lncRNA from 1 species